rnacentral:rRNA from 1 species
GAUGAACGCUGGCGGCGUGCCUAAUACAUGCAAGUCGAGCGAACAGACGAGGAGCUUGCUCCUCUGACGUUAGCGGCGGACGGGUGAGUAACACGUGGAUAACCUACCUAUAAGACUGGGAUAACUUCGGGAAACCGGAGCUAAUACCGGAUAAUAUAUUGAACCGCAUGGUUCAAUAGUGAAAGACGGUUUUGCUGUCACUUAUAGAUGGAUCCGCGCCGCAUUAGCUAGUUGGUAAGGUAACGGCUUACCAAGGCAACGAUGCGUAGCCGACCUGAGAGGGUGAUCGGCCACACUGGAACGGAGACACGGUCCAGACUCCUACGGGAGGCAGCAGUAGGGAAUUUUCCGCAAUGGGCGAAAGCCUGACGGAGCAACGCCGCGUGAGUGAUGAAGGUCUUCGGAUCGUAAAACUCUGUUAUUAGGGAAGAACAAAUGUGUAAGUAACUAUGCACGUCUUGACGGUACCUAAUCAGAAAGCCACGGCUAACUACGUG